rnacentral:rRNA from 1 species
GACAGAGGGUGCAGACGUUGUUCGGAAUUACUGGGCGUAAAGCGUGUGUAGGCGGCCAUGUAAGUCGGAUGUGAAAGCCCCGGGCUCAACUCGGGAAGUGCACUCGAUACUGCGUGGCUUGAGUACUGGAGAGGUUGGUGGAAUUCUCGGUGUAGAGGUGAAAUUCGUAGAUAUCGAGAGGAACACCGGUGGCGAAGGCGGCCAACUGGACAGAUACUGACGCUGAGACACGAAAGCGUGGGGAGCAAAC